rnacentral:rRNA from 1 species
UUUUACAAUGAAGAGUUUGAUCCUGGCUCAGGAUGAACGCUAGCUACAGGCCUAACACAUGCAAGUCGAGGGGCAGCAUGAUUGAAGCUUGCUUCAAUUGAUGGCGACCGGCGCACGGGUGAGUAACGCGUAUCCAACCUGCCCUUUACUCGGGGAUAGCCUUUCGAAAGAAAGAUUAAUACCCGAUGGUUUCGGGAUUCCGCAUGAGAUUCCGAAUAAAGAUUUAUCGGUAAAGGAUGGGGAUGCGUUCCAUUAGAUAGUAGGCGGGGUAACGGCCCACCUAGUCGACGAUGGAUAGGGGUUCUGAGAGGAAGGUCCCCCACAUUGGAACUGAGACACGGUCCAAACUCCUACGGGAGGCAGCAGUGAGGAAUAUUGGUCAAUGGACGAGAGUCUGAACCAGCCAAGUAGCGUGAAGGAUGACUGCCCUAUGGGUUGUAAACUUCUUUUAUAUGGGAAUAAAAAAGGUCACGUGUGGCCUAUUGUAUGUACCUUAUGAAUAAGCAUCGGCUAAUUCCGUGCCAGCAGCCGCGGUAAUACGGAAGAUGCGAGCGUUAUCCGGAUUUAUUGGGUUUAAAGGGAGCGUAGGCGGGCGAUUAAGUCAGCGGUAAAAUAGUGUGGCUCAACCAUGCUCUGCCGUUGAUACUGGUUGCCUUGAGUGCACACAAGGAAGAUGGAAUUCGUGGUGUAGCGGUGAAAUGCUUAGAUAUCACGAAGAACUCCGAUUGCGAAGGCAGUCUUCUGGGGUGUUACUGACGCUGAGGCUCGAAAGUGCGGGUAUCAAACAGGAUUAGAUACCCUGGUAGUCCGCACCGUAAACGAUGAAUACUCGCUGUUGGCGAUACAAUGUCAGCGGCCAAGCGAAAGCAUUAAGUAUUCCACCUGGGGAGUACGCCGGCAACGGUGAAACUCAAAGGAAUUGACGGGGGCCCGCACAAGCGGAGGAACAUGUGGUUUAAUUCGAUGAUACGCGAGGAACCUUACCCGGGCUUGAAUUGCAGGUGCAUGGAUCAGAGAUGGUCCUUUCCUUCGGGACUCCUGUGAAGGUGCUGCAUGGUUGUCGUCAGCUCGUGCCGUGAGGUGUCGGCUUAAGUGCCAUAACGAGCGCAACCCUUUUCCAAAGUUACCAUCAGGUAAUGCUGGGGACUCUUUGGAUACUGCCAUCGUAAGAUGUGAGGAAGGUGGGGAUGACGUCAAAUCAGCACGGCCCUUACGUCCGGGGCUACACACGUGUUACAAUGGGGGGUACAGAGGGCAGCUACCAUGUGACUGGAUGCGAAUCCCGAAAACCCUUCUNNNNNNNNNNUGGAUGCGAAUCCCGAAAACCCUUCUCAGUUCGGACUGGAGUCUGCAACCCGACUCCACGAAGCUGGAUUCGCUAGUAAUCGCGCAUCAGCCAUGGCGCGGUGAAUACGUUCCCGGGCCUUGUACACACCGCCCGUCAAGCCAUGAAAGCCGGGGGUGCCUGAAGUCCGUAACCGCAAGGGGCGGCCUAGGGUAAAACUGGUGAUUGGGGCUAAGUCGUAACAAGGUAGCCGUACCGGAAGGUGCGGCUGGAACACCUCCUUUCUG